UCGAUUGGAAACAACCUCCCUGUCCUUUCGGGUAGGGGUAAGGCCCGUCUACAUAUUACCCUCCCCAGACCUCACUUUGUGGGACUAUACUAGGUAGUUGUUGUUGUUGUAUCUGUAUCAAAGUCCCUUCCCACAACACUAGAGUAAUGCACACAUGCACGUGUAUGCGUAAGCCCUCUUGUUCUAUGAGGACUAUGAUAGCCCCCAAAUCCCAUCACCAUCAUUGAAAACUUUCUGUACCUACCUAUCUUAUGCAGUUUCUUAAUCAGCUUUCGAAUUUCAACACACAUUCGAAUUCUACAGGCAAGAGUGUUUGAUCUACAGAAGAAAAAACCAUGUACCUUUUGAAGACACCAAAUCU
rnacentral:lncRNA from 1 species